CUCCCUUAGAAAAAUGUGAGUGCUCUAACGAUAUAGACCCCACAUAAUUGUGAAAAAAGCUACAUGGGCACUGGAAACUUCUGUCCGCAACAAAGAUAUUAAGAAACAUGUAUAAAUCGAAUCAAUUUACACAACUAAAACCAACAAAUCCAUGAAUGUUAUCUUCUUUUUCUUAGUCACCUUCCAUUAUAGAAUAUACACCAGUGUUGUUAAUCGAGUCAAGGAUUACCACCAUUAACAAAAAUAAAGCCUCAGGCAAGUAGUUGGAGCAUAGUAGAGAUCAAAAGAAUUUCUCAUUGAAUGGUUAAGCUGACGGGAUCCCAUAACGGCUUUGGAGAAUACCAAUUGCUUUCUCGUAUGAUUUUGUAAGUUCAGGAAUGGAGGUUUUGCACACACGGGAUGUAGUGGCUUGUGCAUCUGCCAUGAGCUCUUCAUAAGAUUCCUUCAUUGCUUCGCAGCUUUCAUUGAUAUCUUUAGACAUCUUUUUAAAAUCCUUAUCGGCUUCAUCCAUCACUUGUUGGCAUGUCUGUGACUGGAUCUUGAAGCGUUUGUGGAGACGAGAGUGAAAAGAUUCGAGAUCUUUGAGAAUCUGAGAGUGAGAGUGAUCGAUGAGAUCGGACUUGAGAUAGUGAAAGCGAGAAGACACCAUAUCCUUGAGAUCGGAGAUGGAGGCUAAGGAAUUUUGAGGCUGAGUUCUGAAGACUGAAGCAGUUGGUGGUUUCUUGUUACUGUUUCUGUUCUCGAGAAUGAUCGAUUGUGGAGUUGGAGAAGCAGGUGAAACUGGCAACGGCGAUUUGCGACCUGCUUUCUUCUUCAUUUUUGCUCUCUGCGUGUUUGACUUUGUUCCUCUUUGAAAUAAGAGGCUUUACCUUCUUCUCCACUGGCGGGAAUUUUCGGAUUAUCGGGUUGAUUGAGCCACUGUAGACAAUGAGUCGGAUUUUUUACGAAUAUUGAUCCGACUCAAUCUAAUAAAAUAGGUUUGUGUAGUUUAUAACGGGAUUCGAG
rnacentral:misc_RNA from 1 species